rnacentral:rRNA from 1 species
UAAACUGGGAUUAGAUACCCCACUAUGUCUAGUCGUAAACUUUAACUUACAUUCUCUAUCGCCAGGGUACUACGAGCAAAGCUUAAAACCCAAAGGACUUGACGGUGCCCCACAUCCUUCUAGAGGAGCCUGUCCUGUAACCGAUACUCCACGUUCAACCUCACCAUUUUUAGCCAAUCAGCCUGUAUACUUCCGUCGUCAGCUUACCGCGUGAGCGAGUUCAGUAAGCUUAAUGUCAUCCGCCAAUACGUCAGGUCAAAGUGCAGCAAAUAAAAUGGCAAGAGAUGGGCUACACUUUCUAUAUUAGAAAACACGAAAGAUUAUGUGAAACCAUUAUCAGAAGGCGGAUUUAGCAGUAAGAGGAAAAUAGAAUAUUCUUCUUAACUUGGCACUGGGGUGUGUACACACCGCCCGUCACCCUCA